rnacentral:sRNA from 1 species
GAGCGGGCCUCAGGGUAAACCCCACUAC